GACGAAACGCUGGCGGCGUGCCUAAUACAUGCAAGUUGAGCGCUGAAGGUUGGUACUUGUACCAACUGGAUGAGCAGCGAAACGGGUGAGUAACGCGUGGGGAAUCUGCCUUUGAGCGGGGGACAAACAUUUGGAAACGAAUGCUAAAUACCGCAUAAAAAACUUUAAACACAAGUUUUAAGUUUGAAAGAUGCAAUUGCAUCACUCAAAAGAUGAUCCCGCGUUGUAUUAGCUAGUUGGUGAGGUAAAAGGCUCACCAAAGGCGAUGAUACAUAGCCGACCUGAGAGGGUGAUCGGCCACAUUGGGACUGGAGACACGGG
rnacentral:rRNA from 1 species